UGGGGAAUUUUGGACAAUGGGCGAAAGCCUGAUCCAGCAAUGCCGCGUGUGUGAAGAAGGCCUUCGGGUUGUAAAGCACUUUUGUCCGGAAAGAAAUCCUCUGGGUUAAUACCUCGGGGGGAUGACGGUACCGGAAGAAUAAGCACCGGCUAACUACGUGCCAGCAGCCGCGGUAAUACGUAGGGUGCAAGCGUUAAUCGGAAUUACUGGGCGUAAAGCGUGCGCAGGCGGUUUUGUAAGACGGAUGUGAAAUCCCCGGGCUUAACCUGGGAACUGCAUUCGUGACUGCAAGGCUAGAGUAUGGCAGAGGGGGGUAGAAUUCCACGUGUGAGCAGUGAAAUGCGUAGAGAUGUGGAGGAAUACCGAUGGCGAAGGCAGCCCCCUGGGCCAAAUACUGACGCUCAUGCACGAAAAGCGUGGGGGAGCAAAACAGGAUUAGAUAACCCUGGUAGUCCACGCCCUAAAACGAUGUC
rnacentral:rRNA from 1 species